AUUGAACGCUGGCGGCAUGCCUUACACAUGCAAGUCGAACGGCAGCACGGGGCAACCUGGUGGCGAGUGGCGAACGGGUGAGUAAUGCAUCGGAACGUACCUUUCAGUGGGGGAUAACGUAGCGAAAGUUACGCUAAUACCGCAUAUUCUGUGAGCAGGAAAGCAGGGGAUCGCAAGACCUUGCGCUGAUUGAGCGGCCGAUGUCAGAUUAGCUAGUUGGUGAGGUAAAGGCUCACCAAGGCGACGAUCUGUAGCGGGUCUGAGAGGAUGAUCCGCCACACUGGAGCUGAGACACGGUCCAGACUCCUACGGGAGGCAGCAGUGGGGAAUUUUGGACAAUGGGGGCAACCCUGAUCCAGCCAUGCCGCGUGAGUAAAGAAGGCCUUCGGGUUGUAAAGCUCUUUCGGCCGGGAAGAAAUCGCACGGGCUAAUACCCUGUGUGGAUGACGGUACCGGAAUAAGAAGCACCGGCUAACUACGUGUCAGCCGCCGCUGUAAAAC
rnacentral:rRNA from 1 species